CGAGUCGGCCGGGCGGUCGCGUUGAUGACUCCCCGGAGUCAUCGCCGAGGAACGUCCGGACUCCACAGGGCAGGGUGGUUGCUAACGGCAACCCGGGGCGACCCGCGGGACAGUGCCACAGAAAACAGACCGCCGCCACGGCUUCCGAGGCGGUAAGGGUGAAACGGUGGGGUAAGAGCCCACCAGCACCCCGGGCGACCGGGGUGGCUCGGUAAACCCCACCCGGAGCAAGGCCAAAAGGGCCUCCGCCGCAAGGCGGGACCUGCGCAGGCGUUCGAGGGCUGCCCGCCCGAGCCUGCGGGUAGGCCGCUCGAGCCCGCCGGCAACGGCGGGCCUAGAUGGAUGACCGCCACCAGCGGCGACAACGCCGCCGGCCACAGAAUCCGGCGUACACGCCGGCUCGCUCA
rnacentral:RNase_P_RNA from 1 species